rnacentral:lncRNA from 1 species
CAAUUAAAUAUUCUUUAGGACAAAGUUGUUGUUUACGUUGAGCAGAUUUUAAAUAUAAAACUGUAUUUUUGCAGGGACUGAGCUUAAACCCUGCAGACACUGAAUCUGGUCCAGGAACCAAUCAUGACACGAUGUGGACUGAUGCUGAUGAUGGUGUGUCAUAUGCCUCCAUCAGCUUCACCAAGAAGACCAAGAAUAAAGCCCGGGCUGGUGAUGAUGAUGACACUGUGACUUACAGCACAGUGACAGCUGCCUCACCUGCUGGUGUUACCAAUGAUGCCAGUGACCUCUAUUCCACCAUCAACAAACCAAAGAAAUAGGAUGUUACUCAUAAAAUGUUUAUUUUGUUUUGGAUAAUGCAUCAAUGUUUGGAUGAUAGAGUAACUUCCUUUGUGUUCCUUUUGAAGUAAUGCUGUUUGAUUUAUUUGUUUGGUGUAAUCCAAAGGUAAGUACACCAUCGAUCAAGCAGUGGUGUGCAUGAGUGUGAAUUGUGUCAGAAUCAGUUACUGCAGUAAGUACCAUGAAAUUUAAAAAAAUAUAUAUCAUAAGUGUUGCUCGCUUAAGGACAUUAAUAUAUCUAAAUAUUCAUCUUUUAUUUGAUUUCUUCACAAAAAAUGUUUAGUGAACUACUUAACCUCAGUUAAUACAUCAUGUAACUCCUUAGUUACUGAAGAAAUAUUAAAACAUGUAACUGACUGUAUAUUUGUACUGAGGCAACAAUCGUUAUGCUUCAGGAUUGGCCUGGAAAUGAAGAAGACUUGACUUUUACUGUAAUCUAGAAUUUACCUGUAUAUCAAAUGACGCACUGCACAGAAUUUUAUUAUUAAAAUUUAAAAAAAAAAAAUCAUGAAUGACAUUUUUAACAAUACAAAAAGGGACGUAAAACUAGGGUUGAGAGGUGUAUCUCACUGUAUCUAUGAUGAUACUAAACUUUCUGUUUGUGAUAUUCAAAAAUCAUCUUUGACAGCAAAAAAACUCAGUUUCAGUUUUAGGACACUUUAAAAACAUAAAAAGAAAAGAAUAUGAGUUACUAUAACAUGUGUGAUUGUGCACACUUAGUUUUAAAGAUUAGUGUGAACCAAAAUCCUCAAGUUGUAGAUGCUGUUCAAGGGCUCUGAUGCUAAAAGGCUAACUUUCUUAUUGUGCUGUGCUGACUGGCUUUCCAGCUUCUUCAUAAGUACAGUUUGAACAUUUUUAGUGGACG